UAAAAUAUUCGCCCGCGCAGUACGCAACGAAAGGCAAUCGUAUUUUACUCAUAGACUGAAUUACGAAACUAAUAAUCGAUCGGAAUGCGCUUCUUUCGUUCGUUUCAUACAGCCAAUCGUCGUACGAUUUUUAUUCGUGCAAAUAGCAUUUUGGGAGUUACAUUCCACAAGCUCGUUACGUAUCGAUAAAUAACAGCGUGUGCAUAAGAAAUCGAUGUACGUCGAUACUAGGAACGUAUCUCGACCCAUAUAACGUGUUCGACUAUCGACAUUCCAGUUAGCAGAAACGUAACGUCGAGUCUGCUUCUUGGAAAGGAGAAAAUAAGGAAGCUAGCAGAAAAAUUCGUUACGGUUAAGCGCUAAUCGCACGUGAAUACGUCGAAUUUUAACCGCAACUGGCAUGCUUACAAUUAAAAUGCGAUUUAAAGCGAGCAAUUUUUUAGAACACUCUUAUCUGUGUCGGGUCGUUUGAAACAUUGCUUAAACGAUGAGAAAUUUUCCGUUGUUAACAAGAAAAUAUUACGUUAAACUGUCUCGCUGUGAUUCACGAUUGAGCGGUCGUGCGAAUGUCUAUGUCAAGAAAAAGAAAGAAAGGAAAAAGAAAAGAAAGAAAGAACCGUAAGUCCACCGAUCAGGGACCAUGGAUGUCCAUGGACUCCUGCCCGAUUCCCAUCUCCCCAUGCUCCUUGGAAACAAGGAACAAACUGUAGCAUCGGACAGCGAAGGCUCCCACUUGUGGGAACCAUCGUGCACCAUGCCGUGCUCUCUGGACCACGAAGUGAAAGGUCUGACUCGGAGUUAACUGACUGACUCGCAGUGUAUUUGAAGUGUACGGCCUGUGUGCAAGGUGAUGUAUCUCUACCGACUCUCUUACAGGAGGGCCGCACGAGAAACGGACGCACACGCACGCAAGUCGCGAGUUGCACGAUGUACGGAUACACGGAGAUCCGCGGUUCUAUUCCAGUAUACAUCGUACAUUCGUCUUACAUGUGUAUAUAUGUGUGUAUAUAUACAUAUACAUGUGUAUGUACUUUACGUGCAUACGUAUCUAUGUACAUACGAGACGUUACGACCGCCAUGGUAAUCGGCCAUAAACCGCGAAACUAUCUCUACAUACGCGUCGAGAUGCUUGCAUCUGCCAUCCUGCACCUGCACUCGAUCUUUGUUUAUUGGAAUCGUCGUGUUUUCUUGGAUACCGGCAGAAGCGGAACGUAAGAAAGGAGUUUGCGCCUCUUCGUCUGCACAGUCAGGGAACAAAGCGUUUCAUUGUCCUCCGCGUUAGGUUCGCGUAUACGGAUCGAGGCGGAUCGUCGGGAUUGAAAGUCGUUCGGCGGACUCGCUGGUUAGAAAUUUUCAUUACUUCGAUCGCUACUGUAAUUUUACUCGUUCUCUGCCGGCUGCAAGUUCUGACUGUUCUAUUCGAAAGCUAUACGUUGCUGGAUAGGAAAUCGCGUGACUCGGAAGGAAUAACGUUCAGACCGGAUAAUUCGUACUACUUGCUUGUAAAGAAUAUCGACGUUAUCGGUUGCUGUCUCUUCUAAUUUCGAUACUCUAUGCCAUCAUAGUCAGACGUCUAUCUAUUAAAGUAUCGACGAAAAUUUAUGAUCAUCGAUGUCCUGUUUCGUCGUUUAUUUUUUCUCCUAUACAAAUUAUGCAGAAGCUCGGGGAAAAGAGUGGACUCUAUGGACAAGAACGAGGACGGUAAAGUCGAGCACCCGUCCUUCGGAAACGUCUCAACAUCUUUCCCGGCGGCCUUCAUUUCGCAUUUAAUCCUGGAACUACCCUCGCGUAUUUCGUAGUGAGCGGAGCGCAAAAUACGCGAAAGACCAAAGACAACGCCCUUAGGUACUUAUAUACGAUGUUGGUGGUAAAGAUGAGACGUAAGAAGCGAGGGGGUUGGGAGUGCUCGAAGGUGGAACGAGGAGAAUGGAGAUGAGUAUGGGGUGGGGGCUGGGUUGGCUAGGUAUGUAUAAGCAGAAGAAAGCGCGGGUCGAUUAAAAGUAGCGAGGGUGUUUCUCCUCUCGUUACCGGAGAGCGAGCAAGCGGUAGCGGGACAGGGAUGGAAAGAUGGAGAAAGACGGAAAAGGAUGAAAGCCGGUCGAAAGUCGAAGAAAGAUGGAUAGACCGGGAGAAGGUUAGCGUAAAGAAAGAAAGAGAGAAAGUGUGUAAGUGAGAAAGGGAGAGAAGUUGGAACGGCGGAAGAAGGUGGGCAGUGGUGUAAGACGAGGAGAGGGAUAAAGCAAGAGAGAGAGAGAGAGAGUGAGUAAGAGCAAGGAAGAACAGAGGAGGAAGAAGAAAAGGGCUAUAAAGCAAAUGCGACGAACAGAGACAGGAAUGUAGUUCUGAUCCGGAGGGGUUCGUAAAACGCCGCGCCGCCUACGUUGGAUCGCGAGGGGAGGACAGGGAAGAGAAGACUCAAGAAUCUCAACCUUUAUUUGGAUUUAAGUAAGGAAAAGGGUUGUAAGAUGUGUCGGAUCUGGUGGAUUCGGGGCCAGCCAGGACGAAAAGGAAGGGAAAUUUCACGAUGGCGUGGCGCAUACGGAAGAAGCUCGAGCAGAGUCACGGCGUACAACGAAGGGACGAAUCGAUAAGACACCAGCGUGCAAACCACGUCCGGAACUGGUCACAUCAAGUUGAACGCUCUACUGUCCAUAAUUCCCCGCAAUUCAGCGUGAGAGGAACUCGCGGUAGGACCAAGCACCUAAAUGAAGCCGUGUGCUUCUAACGACAUGCACUCCGAGGAGGAAGGAAAGACGGGAUUCUGUUGGUAAAAGGGAUGCACCACGUACCGUCUGCGUUGCACUGCCACCGACCUCGAGAAUAUUUACUAAUUCCCGUUGCGUAGCGAGAUAACGUUGGAAGGAGAGCGGAGGAGAAGAGUCGGUUGUCGUAGGACGUCGAGCGGACUAGGAAAGAGAUGGCCAACGGUAGGUCCAGAAAACGGCAGAAGCGGAAGAAAAAGGCAAGGAAACGGAGGAAGACGAGAAAGAGGCAGGACAAUGGUAUAGAGAUAGCGCGCGGGAAAGAAGGAGAAAGGCAGUGGUGUACGCAAAACGAGAAAGAAUCGCGGUAAGACAUCUGUAGAGAGAAAGAGCGGACAGAGAAAAACACGGGAAAGAGAAACGAGAUAGAACGAUUUUCCCUCUACUCCGGAGAGGCAACGACUACCAAUUCCCUUAUACCCACCAGCCACCAACCCACCACCCUCGAAAAGAGUAUUUAAAGUGACGUCACGCGGUGAGGGGCGGGGGAGGUGAGGAAGAAGAGGAAGAAGAGGAAGAAGAGGAGGAGGAGAAGGAGGAGGAGAAGGAGGAGGAGGAGGAAGAAGAAGAAGAGGCGGAGGAGAGUCAAGGGGGAAGGGGUUGUUCGGGCAACAGGAAAGAGAGAAAGAGUAAACUGGCGAAAGAGAAAGGGGGAGGACAGGGAGAUGCUUUAAGACGCUCAAUAUAAAUACUAGAGGGGGUUGAGAAAAAGGGUUGCUUCCCUUCGGGCCGACGACGCCGGCCGAAGCGUGUACGCUCAAGAAGAGCGUGAAAGAAAGACAGCGGAGCAAGGACCAUCCAACAGAGAGGGACGGUGUACAUCGUGGAAGAAGAAAGCGUUUAGCUGGGCGGAGAAAAGAGUGAGAAGCAUCGACGAGGGAAAAAAGCGGUGCCCCGUGCGAUAUUUUCGGUGGAAGUGUACGCAUAGUAGCGGAGGUGGAGAAGGACGAGGAGGAUGAAGAGAGAAGGAGGAGAGGCAAAAAAAUUCAUGUCAUACUCGAGUGGUUUACUCGAGCCGAAUGCUCGGCGAAUUUUACUGCGCUCUACUGGGCUCUACUGGGCUCUGCCGGGCUCCGCUUCGCUAGAACAAGGAAGGUCUUGGUUAAAUCCAAAAGCGACUAGCACGCUCCUACUGGCCGCACCAAAGCGAGCGUAUUGCGGCACCAACAGUCAGAAACGCCGCUCUACCAGACUGCACAGAUCGCUGCAUUAAUGCCAUUCUUCCCAGCCUCGUUCACAUUUUUCCUUGCUUCCUUUCUUUCUCCUGUUUUCGUUUUGUUUCCCGUCUCCCAUUUCCCUUCCUUUUUCCCUCAUCUCCGUGGCCGUGUUCUCCUUAUUUUUUCCCUCGCGAAUCGAACUAACCGUAAUACAAAAAAUUACACGUAAAUAUCGCCCGCCGGGACGAUAACGAAAGCGCGAUGCGACGCUGUGCUCGACUAAUGAAAAGAUCAGAAGCAGUCGUCGCUGUCGACAUUCUGCACGAUCGCCUUGAUUUUCAGGAUUAUGGAUGAGGCAUGCUGUUCAUUGACUAAACGAUCGUCUUUGUGCUCGUCUCAUAGUCGUUUCAUUGGACGACACGAUUCGAUUUCUAGAAAUAACCUAUCGUUUGUAAAAAUCUUGUUAUCAAGGUAAUCGGUAGCAAAGGCAAACGAUAUAGCGCUAACGAAUCAACGAUUUGAUUACAGUGGCAUAAAUACAUUUGUUUCGGAGAAAAAUAAACGAUAUCUUGUUCGUGUUAUAAUAAUGUUAUAAUACACAUCCUCAUUAUACGUCGCAUUCGCUACGUUUCUUGUCCUUAUUCGUAUAUAACAUAUAUAGAUAUUUGCAUAUAUAUAUUUCAUUGUUAACAUAGCCUGGUCAACGUCCGGCAGAUUUUCAUCGGUGGAACGUAUCGGUCGAUAGUAGCGAACGUGGCGCAGAAAAUUAGGCGAAACAAGCCUGUUGUAAGUCCUGUCGAAGAUUUUGAUAAUACCGAUGGCGGUUUGGUGAAUUCGGAAGCGUUGACCUGGCUGCGAAGCGAGGCUUUCCGGCUGAUCACCCGGUAUGGACACACUUGCGCGCAUCUAACACACGGUUCAAGAACCACGGGGAGAUCGAGUCCGUAUGAGAGUACACCACGAUACAUUCGGGGAUGGAAGAGGGUGAAACGAGGAACGAGCAGAUAGAAGCAGAUACCGAUAGAGGGAUAAAGAGGGAGCCGGAGAAACGGAGAAACGGAGAAGGAGAAAGGGGUCUGCGCGAUGGGAUGGAUGCUACACAGUACGCGGACGGUCUUAGCGGUAUCUUGGCUGCCUCGCUGUCCUGGGGGCGAGCGGCUAAAUACCUCAGGAUUGUUACUAUUGCCACCCCUUUGCACCCUCUCCUCCUUCGCCCAACGGGCCACCCACCUCACCCCUUUUGAUACGAUGGAAUGGGUUAAUGCUAUUGAUUCACGUGCACAAGGUGCUUGGGUAGAAGCGGCACCGACGGCCGCCACUGUUUGACAGUAACGGAUCUCCCCUUGUCGCUCUCUCUCCCUCUCUGCUUCUCCGCUUCUCCGCUUCUCCGUCGUCGACCAUCUUUCGUCUCUUGCGUUCUACGUCCUACGAGAUACCUAGACGAACGCGACCAUCCAGCUGCUUGUACCUUCCGUUGGUGUCUCUCACGGAGUUUGAAAAGUCCGGCUAGGAUGCCACGUUUAAGCGUCCGAUCGAACCCUUUGGAAUGGGAACCGGCCGACACUCUGACUUUUACGUCGGACCUCGCUGCAAAAACUUUCGACUUGCCUCUCUCUCGCUGGUCGAUAACGUAUCGAUCAAAACCAGAGAUCGAGGUGGAUCGCGUAGCCGAAUCCUGCCUACCUUUAAUCAAUCCGGGACACGAUAAUUUGCGAUUACGACGUUUCGUAGAAUUUAAUUUAAUUUUCUGUAUAUAGUACUUGUAUUGUCGUUGUUAACGUUUAGACAGCUAAGUGUCAAUUCCGAAUAAUUUAAUACUAAAUUAUUGUUUCUAGUUAUUAAAAAGUACUUUAGAGUUUGUCAUAGCGCACGAAUUUACGAAUUUACGAAUUUACCAAUAAACAACGUUUAAAUCGUUAAUCAAAGUUUCAAAAUCUGGUUUCAAAGUCAAAGAGACCUGAUAUAUUUUAUAGAACUUUCAGGAGCCGUUAACCUCUCGUAGUUUUCUAUGUUACAGCGUUGAGUCUUGUCGAAGUGGAUUAACAUUCGUCGCAUGAUACAAAAUCGUACAAAUAUUCCCGUACGGCGACCUACCUACCUUCGCCAUCGUGAACGCAGAUAGUUUAUAUUAUUGAUCUUUAUGCGCAUGAUAUUUGAACAUAAACGGUGAUGACGUCUCUAGUAUUCCAACCAAUGAAUCGCCCUCUCUUGGAUACACGCUAGGUGUACAUGGAAAUUAGUCGAAUUUCCAAAUAGAAGUAAGAAAAACGAAGACUUAACCGAUCGAGUCGGCCGUAUAGUUUCGUUUAAGCUUAGUCGGAACAUUCAGAAGACUCGUAGGAU